AGCGAACGCUGGCGGCAGGCUUAACACAUGCAAGUCGAGCGGGCACUUUCGGGUGUCAGCGGCGGACGGGUGAGUAACGCGUGGGAACGUGCCCUCUGGUUCGGAAUAACUCAGGGAAACUUGAGCUAAUACCGGAUACGCCCUUUUGGGGAAAGGCUUGCUGCCGGAGGAUCGGCCCGCGUCUGAUUAGCUAGUUGGUGAGGUAACGGCUCACCAAGGCGACGAUCAGUAGCUGGUCUGAGAGGAUGAUCAGCCACACUGAGACUGAGACACGGCCCAGACUCCUACGGGAGGCAGCAGUGGGGAAUAUUGGACAAUGGGCGCAAGCCUGAUCCAGCCAUGCCGCGUGAGUGAUGAAGGCCUUAGGGUUGUAAAGCUCUUUUAUCCGGGACGAUAAUGACGGUACCGGAGGAAUAAGCCCCGGCUAACUUCGUG
rnacentral:rRNA from 1 species